rnacentral:rRNA from 1 species
AGGGUUUGAUCAUGGCUCAGGACGAACGCUGGCGGCAUGCCUAACACAUGCAAGUCGAACGAGAAAGUUCCUUCGGGAGCAAUUAAAGUGGCGCACGGGUGAGUAACGCGUAGACAAUCUGCCCUUCAGUCUGGGACAACUUUUCGAAAGGAGAGCUAAUACCGGAUAACAAUGCAUGACACAAGUUGUAUAUUUGAAAGCUUUAUGUGCUGAAGGAGGGGUCUGCGUCCCAUUAGCUAGUUGGUAGGGUAAAGGCUUACCAAGGCAACGAUGGGUAGCGGGUUUGAGAGGACGAUCCGCCACACUGGAACUGAGACACGGUCCAGACUCCUACGGGAGGCAGCAGUGGGGAAUAUUGCACAAUGGAGGAAACUCUGAUGCAGCAAUGUCGCGUGAGUGAAGAAGGCCCUUGGGUCGUAAAGCUCUUUUAUGGGGGAAGAUGAUGACGGUACCCCAAGAAUAAGCACCGGCUAACUAUGUGCCAGCAGCCGCGGUAAUACAUAGGGUGCGAGCGUUGUUCGGAAUUACUGGGCGUAAAGGGCGCGCAGGCGGAAUAGUAAGUCGGAGGUGAAAGCCCGGGGCUCAACCCCGGAGGGUCUUUCGAAACUACUAAUCUAGAGAGGGUCAGGGGCCGGCAGAAUUCCUGGUGUAGAGGUGAAAUUCGUAGAUAUCAGGAGGAAUACCGGUGG